GUCUAUGGCCAUGCCACCCUGAAUGUGUCUGAUCUCAUCUGAUCUCGGAAGCUAAGCAAGGUCUGGCCUGGUUAGUACUUGGAUGAGAGACCACCUAAGAAUACCGGGUGCUGUAGGCU
rnacentral:rRNA from 1 species